rnacentral:lncRNA from 1 species
GCCGUUUCUCUGCGUCAUCACCCUCACAGGCCCUUGCAACUUUAGGAUGAGGUGAUGGCUGUAAGACCCCUUUUACAAGUGAGGACAUGGGCUCGGAUGCCUGUUCUGCUCAGAACUGCACAGCUAGUGGAGACGCUACCAUCGAACUUCAUGAUUCAUGGAUUCCACGCUUGUGCAUUGGCUCACUCACUAAGGUUUAUUUGUAAUCAUUGACAUACACACUCGGGUUUGCAGGCAUUUGUGGACAUGCUCGGGCCUGAGGAAAAUUUGGGUUGCCCAGCACAGAUGUUCCCAGCUGAAGUGGAACAAGACGACACUUUUUUUUUCCUCUUGCUUUUUAGGGCCACACGUGUAGCGUAUGGAAGUUCCCAACUAGGGGUUGAAUGGGAGCUGCAGCUGCCGGCCUCCACCACAGCCACAGCCACAUGGGACCCAAGCCAUGUCUGUGACCUACACCACAGCUCAUGGCCACACCAGACUCUGAACCCCCUGAGCGAGGCCAGGGAUUGAACCUGAGUCCUCAUGGAUGCUAGUCGGGUUCAUAACCUGCUGAGCCAUAGUGGGAACUCCAGGGCGACAUUCUUUUUGUCUCCGCUCAGACCAUUGACAAAGGUCCCUUCGCGUGGCCUAUUUGGUGCCACAUUUUUUUGCAUUUGUGCUUUUGGCUGGGGACUGGGCUGUCGCCAGUGGCUCCCAGCGUGGUGUUGAGGAGCUGUUGGGUGUUCCUGAGGGCAAGAAGGCUGGGAUGUGUCUUAUGGAGAAAAUAUAGGAGCUGGGUAAGCCUUGUUCAGGCAGAGUGACAGUGCUGUUGCUGGCUGUGAAUUCAAAGUUAAUGAAUCAACUGUAUACUAAAUAAGGCAUUUUUAAACAGAAACACAGAUAAAACAAGGUUAUGUACUGACAGGUUGAUCAAGAUCAGUUUCCCCUAGGAGCAGUGGUUCAGCCUUCGCUAAUUCAGUGUUGGCGAUGAUUUUAUAGGACAGGAUUGCAAAGUGUCACAAGAAGUGACUGUACUUGGAACCACUUCUGUUUGCCUCUCCUGUCAUCCUUGAAGAAGGAGGCAGAGAGACUGUCAGAGGGGUCUGGCCCUGCCCCAUGGUGCCUUUAUCCCUGCCAGAGGUCCAUUCUCCUUUGUUAGAAUCAGAUUUACCCAUGUCAUGGGUCAGCUGUAGUUCUGGACAGAUGACCUUAUCUGCUUGUCAGCUGGGUGUCUUGGGUGAAUUAUGUGCCCUGUUUCUUCCUCUCUCCGGUGGAGUUCUUAAUACUAUUUGGCAGGGUUGUUUGGGGGAAUUAGGUGAGAUUAAUAUACCUUAAGUUCUUAGCGUGGUGCCUAGAUCAUCAUAAAACUUAAGGACUAUUAAAACAACGAUCAGGAGUUUGGGUUGGAGUUAUUUUUGUGAUGCUCGUGUUCCAAGUCUCUGGCUGGUUAUCCUGGCUCUUAUUUGAGCCUCCCUUUUACUCUCUGCCUGUCUUUUCUGCCCUUGGCUCCUUUCUGGUGCUCUCUCCUGACCUCCCUGUUCUGGACAGUACAAGCCCUGGGUCCGCUCUGUCAUGCCCAGGAUCCAUCGGCUUUCUGUGGGCCAAAGUCCAGCAGGACUCUACCUUCAUUCUGCAGGUGGGCACAGAAGGCUGUGGGGUCGAAGCCACCUAAUGGAUUCAAUCACUGCUCCUCCCGGCACAUGCUUUGCGUGGUCCAGCCCCAUUGAACCUAUUGAACCGGGGGCUGCUGAAGGUUUGCUUCCACUGAGAAGAGAGCAAUGAAGCCUACACCAGGGGGUAGGCUUAGAUGAUGUUAGUAUGUAUGGAUGGAUCAGGGAGGGAUUUCGCCACUGAGACAGAGAGAGGUACAAGAAAUGGCACACAUCUUAAAUACAAAGAUUAAGUCAAACUCCAUGGGUCCAACUGGCUGAGGUCAUGAAGGAAUGUGAUCUUUAGGGUCUAUCCUUGUUGGGCUGCACAAGACCUCAAGCGUCUAAAUAGUCCCAUCCAAACAGAUAGAAUGCUACCCAGGAGGGGCGGUGAUGCCUCCUGGAGUGCUGUCCAGCCCUGCCCAGUGGUGUCCCUGACCCCUUAACCCACAGCAGGCUUGGCAGCAGAGAUGGGCUUCUAGAACAUCCCUGAUGCUUAGGCUUGGCCCUAAGCCUCAUGGAACUCCUUGAAGCCAUGCCCUACCUAGGUCUUGGCCUCUCUAGGUAACUUGUGGCUGUGGGCAUAGGGCUUUCCCUCUAGUGGAACUCCACACCCUAUUUCCAUCCCCAGCCCUGAGCAGGAGAGGCUGGAAAUGAGUGAGCAGGAGAGCCAGACAUCAACUAAUUUCUCACCCCAUUAUGCAGAGUGAGCACUUGAAUAAUUCCUAUAGCAGAAGCGGAGCACAAGAGUGGCUUUCAAGGCUUUAUGGGAGGGAGUUUAGCAUGGGUCCACAAUGGAGAAAUCCUCAUUGCUAAGGGACAUCUUUGAAAACUCUGGACAUCUUGUCUUGGAAUGGCUCUUUUAAAUUUGAAGGGGUGGUUUAUUUAUCCCUUAAUAGGUUCCAGUUGAACAGUCUGGCUGCUGUCUGUUAACGGGGUUUGAAUUUCCCACCGGGGCUGUAGACAGAAGUUUCCCCAAAAGUGCUUGGGAGGUGGUGGAAUCCCUCUCCCUGGUGGUCCUGGGUUAGGUGGAUGCCAGUAUUCUCAUCCUUGCAGUAACCUGCGAGUUAGGUACUAGUACCAUCCUGUUUCACAGGUGACUAAAGAGGAGCUUGGGAGUUGAGAUAUGCUCAAAGUCAGAUGAGUAACUUUGGUAAGGGGACGGCAAUUCAAUUGUUUGGACACUCCAAGUCCAAACCCAGUGUUCCCAGGCACUGAGCCCUUACAGGAGGUGCUGGGGGGUUGAAUCAGUUUGCCGGUCUGCUGGGACCUUGCGUUCUAUUCUAUUUUAUUCUGUUUUUGGAAGACCGUGGUAAAGGCCAGUGGUGUUGCCUGGGAUUGUUCUUUGGGAAACACUCAUGAUUCCCCUGCGUGACACAUCCCUUCAGGCCAUGGCGCAUUGAGUCACAGGGAAAAUGAUUGGAGGGGAGGUCGUUGUGGUCUCUCUCAGGAGAGUGGGUGUGGAGAGCAGCGGUAAGUAACACCAGGAUCCUAGAACCAAGACCGAUCAACUUUUCUUGCUGAAAACGUGAGAGGCGCCCUGCCUUCCUAGCUUUCUAUUGGCUUGGUGGUUCAGAUUUUCGUUGGAAUCUAUGAAAUGCCUCAGUAUCCUCGUCAUCGCCAACUUCCCCCCAUUAUCAUCAGAAUUUUCAUCACCAUCACCUUCCCGUCAUCAUCAUCACCAUCAUUAUCCCUGUACUUAAGCUCACGCAACUUGUUUUUCAUUGUUGCAGUCAGAGCAAGGUCAAGAAAUAGCCAGAUCUGGAGUUCCCGUCAUGGCUCAGUGGUAAUGAGCCCGACUAGUAUCCAUGAGGACACGGGUUCGAUCCCUGGCCUCAGUCAGUGGGUUCAGGAUCUGAUAUUGCUCUGAACUGUGAUGUAGGUCACAGAGGCGGCUUGGAUUCUGCAUCGCUGUGGCUGUGGUGUAGCUACAGCUCCGAUUCAACCCCUAGUCUGGGAACUUCCAUAUGCCCAUAUGCUGCAGAGGCAGCCCUAAAAAGACCAAAAAGCAAAAACAAAACCCAAAACCAAAACAGCACUCGGAUCCAUUCUUUAACCUAAUUCACCCCUCCAGGUGAGGGGCUCAGCCCUUCUGUUAACCAGUCUCAGAAAAGGACUCUGGAAUCCCUUUUACAAAUUGGGAGAGGAAAUUAUACCAUGACCCAUUUUCCUUAAAAUAGGGGUUGAUUUUGCUUUUUGUUCCCCUUAUGAAGCUCGAACCUUCCUUUUCCCAUGCCAUUUUCUAUGGGAUUAUGACUUUUUUUUUUUUUUUGGCCAAAGAUUAUUACUUCAAAUAAAAGAUAAGGAGUGUUUCCAAUCCUGCUACAAAAAUGUAUGAGCAGCGUAAAGGAGGUCCCUAAGGCCCAUCCGUGAGGAACAACAGGAUCUUAUUAGCACAUUCUGCUCUCAUUUAUCAGAGUGUUUUUCAGCCAUUCCAACCUAUUUUAAAGCAUUUCACACUUUCCACAGAGAAACAGUCUAUUAUUUCUAGUAAGAACUGAAUGCUGGGGAUUCAGGGCACAUGUAAGCUACCUCUAGAGAUACUUGGAGUUUUUCUGCUUGCCUAGAGCCUGCUCUGUUCUCCAAACCCACUUUCCUUGAAGGGAUCAACCACUGUACCGCACAGGAAAUGGGAUUUGAAGUGCCAUUGAUUCACUUGGUCUAGCUCUUUUUAUUUUUCCUGUCUGCGCCCAG